GGUGAACGCUGACAGAAUGCUUAACACAUGCAAGUCGAUGGGGAAGUGGUGCUUGCACCAUGGCAACCAUGGCGGACGGGUGAGUAACGCGUAAGGGACUUACCUGCAGGACUGGGAUAACAGGGGGAAACUCCUGACAAGACCGGAUAAUGUCAUGGAGCUGCAUGGCUUUAUGAUGAAAGGAGACGCCUGCGGAGAGCCUUGCGUCCUAUUAGCUAGUUGGUGAGGUAAUGGCUCACCAAGGCGAAGAUAGGUAGCCGGCCUGAGAGGGUGGACGGCCACAAGGGGACUGAGAUACGGCCCUUACUCCUACGGGAGGCAGCAGUGGGGAAUAUUGGACAAUGGGGGCAACCCUGAUCCAGCAAUUCUGUGUGCACGAAGAAGGUUUUCGGAUUGUAAAGUGCUUUCAGCAGGGAAGAAGUAAGUGACGGUACCUGCAGAAGAAGCGACGGCUAAAUACGUG
rnacentral:rRNA from 1 species